AGUGAACGCUGGCGGUAGGCCUAACACAUGCAAGUCGAACGGCAGCACAGUAAGAGCUUGCUCUUACGGGUGGCGAGUGGCGGACGGGUGAGGAAUACAUCGGAAUCUACUUUUUCGUGGGGGAUAACGUAGGGAAACUUACGCUAAUACCGCAUACGACCUACGGGUGAAAGCAGGGGAUCUUCGGACCUUGCGCGAUUGAAUGAGCCGAUGUCGGAUUAGCUAGUUGGCGGGGUAAAGGCCCACCAAGGCGACGAUCCGUAGCUGGUCUGAGAGGAUGAUCAGCCACACUGGAACUGAGACACGGUCCAGACUCCUACGGGAGGCAGCAGUGGGGAAUAUUGGACAAAGGGCGCAAGCCUGAUCCAGCCAUACCGCGUGGGUGAAGAAGGCCUUCGGGUUGUAAAGCCCUUUUGUUGGGAAAGAAAAGCAGCAGGUUAAUACCCCGCUGUUCUGAAGGUACCCAAAGAAUAAGCACCGGCUAACUUCGUG
rnacentral:rRNA from 1 species